rnacentral:rRNA from 1 species
CCUACGGGUGGCAGCAGUGAGGAAUAUUGGUCAAUGGACGAGAGUCUGAACCAGCCAAGUAGCGUGAAGGAUGACUGCCCUAUGGGUUGUAAACUUCUUUUAUAUGGGAAUAAAAUGUUCCACGUGUGGGAUUUUGUAUGUACCAUAUGAAUAAGGAUCGGCUAACUCCGUGCCAGCAGCCGCGGUAAUACGGAGGAUUCGAGCGUUAUCCGGAUUUAUUGGGUUUAAAGGGAGCGUAGGUGGAUUGUUAAGUCAGUUGUGAAAGUUUGCGGCUCAACCGUAAAAUUGCAGUUGAAACUGGCAGUCUUGAGUACGGUAGAGGUAGGCGGAAUUCGUGGUGUAGCGGUGAAAUGCUUAGAUAUCGCGAAGAACUCCGAUUGCGAAGGCAGUUCACUGGACUGCAACUGACACUGAGGCUCGAAAGUGUGGGUAUCAAACAGGAUUAGAUACCCUAGUAGUC